rfam:Desulfoplanes formicivorans DNA, contig: NODE_5, strain: Pf12B.
CCUGGUGACCAAGGCGGAGGGGACACACCCGAUUCCAUCUCGAACUCGGAAGUUAAGACCUCCAGCGCCGAUGAUACUCCGGAUCCAUCCGCGGGAAAGUAGGUCGUCGCCAGGA